rnacentral:rRNA from 1 species
GCAUAUCAAUAAGCGGAGGAAAAGAAACCAACAGGAUUACCUCAGUAACGGCGAGUGAAGCGGUAACAGCUCAAAUUUGAAAUCUGGCUUUCGGGCCCGAGUUGUAAUUUGUAGAAGAUGCUUUGGGUGUGGCUCCGGUUUAAGUUCCCUUGGAACAGGACGUCAUAGAGGGUGAGAAUCCCGUACGUGACUGGUAGCCUCCGCUCGUGUAAAGCUCUUUCGACGAGUCGAGUUGUUUGGGAAUGCAGCUCAAAAUGGGUGGUAUAUUUCAUCUAAAGCUAAAUAUUGGCCAGAGACCGAUAGCGCACAAGUAGAGUGAUCGAAAGAUGAAAAGCACUUUGGAAAGAGAGUUAAACAGUACGUGAAAUUGUUGAAAGGGAAGCGCUUGCAACCAGACUUGCAGGCUGUUGAUCAUCCGAGGUUCUCCCCGGUGCACUCGGCAGCUUUCAGGCCAGCAUCGGUUUGGGUGGUGGGAUAAAGGCCUUGGGAAUGUGGCUCCCUUCGGGGAGUGUUAUAGCCCAAGGUGCAAUGCCGCCUACCUAGACCGAGGACCGCGCUCCGGCUAGGAUGCUGGCGUAAUGGUUGUAAGCGACCCGUCUUGAAACACGGACCAAGGAGUCUAACAUCUAUGCGAGUGUUUGGGUGUUAAACCCAUGCGCGUAAUUAACGUGAACGGAGGUAAGAACCCUUAAGGGUGCAUUAUCGACCGAUCCUGAUGUCUUCGGAUGGAUUUGAGUAAGAGCAUAGCUGUUGGGACCCGAAAGAUGGUGAACUAUGCCUGAAUAGGGUGAAGCCAGAGGAAACUCUGGUGGAGGCUCGCAGCGGUUCUGACGUGCAAAUCGAUCGUCAAAUUUGGGUAUAGGGGCGAAAGACUAAUCGAACCAUCUAGUAGCUGGGUUCUGCGA